AACGAACGCUGGCGGCAUGCCUAACACAUGCAAGUCGAACGAGACCUUCGGGUCUAGUGGCGCACGGGUGCGUAACGCGUGGGAACCUGCCCUUAGGUUCGGAAUAACUCCCCGAAAGGGGUGCUAAUACCGGAUAAGGUCUUCGGACCAAAGAUUUAUCGCCUUUGGAUGGGCCCGCGUUGGAUUAGCUAGUUGGUAGGGUAAAAGCCUACCAAGGCGACGAUCCAUAGCUGGUCGGAGAGGAUGAUCAGCCACACUGGGACUGAGACACGGCCCAGACUCCUACGGGAGGCAGCAGUGGGGAAUAUUGGACAAUGGGCGAAAGCCUGAUCCAGCAAUGCCGCGUGAGUGAUGAAGGCCUUAGGGUUGUAAAGCUCUUUUACCCGGGAUGAUAAUGACAGUACCGGGAGAAUAAGCUCCGGCUAACUCCGUG
rnacentral:rRNA from 1 species